ACUCAAAUGAAUUGACGGGGGCCCGCACAAGCAGCGGAGCGUGUGGUUUAAUUCGAGGUUACACGAAGAACCUUACCUGGGUUUGACAUCCCGCGAACGACCGUGAAAGCGGAAGGUCCUUCGGGACGCGGAGACAGGUGCUGCAUGGCUGUCGUCAGCUCGUGUCGUGAGAUGUUCGGUUAAGUCCGAAAACGAGCGCAACCCUCGGUGCGUGUUACAGGUGUCACGCAUGACUGCCGGCGGCAAGCCGGAGGAAGGUGGGGAUGAUGUCAAGUCAGCAUGGCCUUUAUAUCCAGGGCUACACACACGCUACAAUGGACGGUACAGUGGGUCGCGAAGCCGCGAGGUGGAGCCAAUCCUAAAAAGCCGUUCGUAGUUCGGAUUGCAGGCUGCAACUCGCCUGCAUGAAGCUGGAGUUGCUAGUAACCGUGUAUCAGCAUGACACGGUGAAUACGUUCCCGGGCCUUGUACACACCGCCCGU
rnacentral:rRNA from 1 species